rnacentral:misc_RNA from 1 species
CUUGCCAAACUAGGUAGGUCAUUGUUUCUCAAAUACCUGCAUGAUGGUGGUUGAACUGUAGUACUAGUAUAGGGUUUAAUGAUGAAUUCCGAGAAAGUGUUACUAAAUGUUAUGCAGUCCUUGAAUGGAGUAUUUCGAAAUUUAAAAUUCAUGGAUAUUAAAUUACAUCUACUUAUAACUUAUCUCAUGUCAUUUUAUAAAAUGCUUUGUUUGGAUGGUCAUUUGUGAACUAUAAAAUUUCAAUAUAAAUAUUUAGGGGUCGGGUAGGAUUAGGUUUUAACCUUUUACCACAAAAGAAGAAAGGAGUAUAAUAACACUUGUAUAAUUAAAAAGAGAUG